rnacentral:rRNA from 1 species
UACGUAGGUGGCAAGCGUUGUUCGGAAUUAUUGGGCGUAAAGAGCUCGUAGGCGGUUUGUCGCGUCUGCCGUGAAAGUCCGGGGCUCAACUCCGGAUCUGCGGUGGGUACGGGCAGACUAGAGUGAUGUAGGGGAGACUGGAAUUCCUGGUGUAGCGGUGAAAUGCGUAGAUAUCGGGAGGAACACCAGUGGCGAAGGCGAUCUUCUGGACGGAUACUGACGCUGAGGCGCGAAAGCUAGGGGAGCAAACGGG